rnacentral:rRNA from 1 species
CCUACGGGUUGCAGCAGUGGGGAAUAUUGCACAAUGGGCGCAAGCCUGAUGCAGCCAUGCCGCGUGUGUGAAGAAGGCCUUCGGGUUGUAAAGCACUUUCAGCGGGGAGGAAGGCGGUGAGGCUAAUAACCUCACCGAUUGACGUUACCCGCAGAAGAAGCACCGGCUAACUCCGUGCCAGCAGCCGCGGUAAUACGGAGGGUGCAAGCGUUAAUCGGAAUUACUGGGCGUAAAGCGCACGCAGGCGGUCUGUCAAGUCAGAUGUGAAAUCCCCGGGCUUAACCUGGGAACUGCAUUCGAAACUGGCAGGCUAGAGUCUUGUAGAGGGGGGUAGAAUUCCAGGUGUAGCGGUGAAAUGCGUAGAGAUCUGGAGGAAUACCGGUGGCGAAGGCGGCCCCCUGGACAAAGACUGACGCUCAGGUGCGAAAGCGUGGGGAGCAAACAGGAUUAGAUACCCUUGUAGUC